UGGCUACCCUAGCAGCUGCCCUGGGUGUC
rnacentral:piRNA from 1 species